AACGAUUCAGAUCGGUCUCAGUGGUUCACAUCUUGAAAUCGAAAUCGAAGGUCAUCUCAGCGAUUCAGAUCGGUGAUUCAGCUUGGUGAUUCAGAGGUUCAGAUCGAUCUCAGCGAUUCAAAUCGGUGAUGAAGACAGUAAGAUUACCACUGUUCAACUAAGGUUACUGCAAUUUUUCCACAAAACAUUAUCACAUGUUCAGGAGACACAACUUAUGAUGAAGACAGAAAUUCUAAGAGAAGGGCAAUACUGUUGGGAGUAGGAGCAUUAGCUUUGAUUUCAUGCCCUGCAAGUUCACUCUUUGCUGAAGGAAUUUGAUUUCAGAGGGCACGAUUCUGCAUUCAAAGACCGAUAUCUGCAAUUACAAAGUGUUCGGGUGAGCGUUGGGAAUGCCCUGCACUCAAAUUUCUCUGACAACCCUGACCAAGAAUCUAUUAAACAGGAAAAGCUGAUCCUUGGAAUGCUGAGCCCUAUCGAUGAAUUCUCCAACAUAAAUAGUAGGAACAAACAGUGAAUGAUACUAAACAGAAAGCAAAGGUGUGAUGUCUGAAAGUUGAUUGCUUGAAGAGGUAAUAUGUUAGUAACUUGAGAUCCUUUGUGAUUGUUAAUGUUAAUUGGAUGGUUAUAGGCAAUGUAUGAAGAAGUUUAUGACAAGCUCACAUGUGAUUGAUCCGUGUUACAUCUAGUGAUUCUUUAAGGAUGUAUGGCCUGCAGCCCAUCGUUUUGGCCCGGGUCCAGUCUCGCCCUCCUAUCUCAGAAGUGAACAGGCUUGCAACAUGUUGAGAAGUGCUUAGAUGUAGUUGCUACUUUGCAAGCUAAUAAGGGUACUGGCGAGGCAUUAUUAGUUGAUUUUGAAGUGUCAGAAGGCAUCUAUUCCCGAGCAUGCAUCGAGGAUACUGAUUCAGUAUGUCUAUGGCUGGGAGCAAAUGUCAUGCUGGAGUACUCAUGUGAAGAGGCCACUGAUCUUCUACAAAAGAAUUUGGAAAAUGCUAGAGCUAGUUUAGAAGUUCUUGUUACAGAUCUACAAUUCUUAAGGGAUCAAGUGACCAUUACUCAGGUAUAGUUGGUGUUUCUCUUUUUAUGAGUUGUGGUUAUUAAUUGAUUUUAAUUUUUUUUUUUAAGAAAAAGAAAAAGAAAAAACCUAAAUGUAAUUAAUAAAAUAAAAAAACUAUUUUGGAAACAGAUGAUCCAAACCCGAAACCAAAAAAGCCUGACACUCUGGCAUCAAUCAGGGAUCUGAUUGGUCAUACCAUCUAUUAUUUAGGUGGUGCAUGGACUGCUAGAAAGUUCAAUGUUCCUUAUAUAUAUAUAUAUAUAUAUAUCUUGUGUAUCUAUGUAGAGAGUGCUCUUUCCUACUAUAGUUGCAGUUGUUGUUUGUCGGGUGAGAGAGAUUGCAA